UUAAAAUGAGAGUUUGAUCCUGGCUCAGGAUGAACGCUGGCGGCGUGCCUAAUACAUGCAAGUCGAACGCUUUGUCUUUAAUUGAUAUGAAGAGCUUGCUCUGAUUUGAUUUUAUCUGACAAAGAGUGGCGAACGGGUGAGUAACACGUGGGUAACCUACCUCUUAGCAGGGGAUAACAUUUGGAAACAAGUGCUAAUACCGU
rnacentral:rRNA from 1 species